rnacentral:tRNA from 1 species
AUUUAAAUAGCUUAAUUUAGAGUACAAUAUUGAAGAUAUUGUGGUGAUUUUAUAAUCUUUAAAUA